GGCAGGUAGCCUAGUGGUUAGAGUGUAGAGGCGGCAGGUAGCCUAGUGGUUAGAGUGUAGAGGUGGCAGGUAGCCCUAGUGGUUAGAGUGUAGAGGUGGCAGGUAGCCUAGUGGUUAGAGUGUAGAGGUGGCAGGUAGCCUAGUGGUUAGAGUGUAGAGGAGGCAGGGUAGCCUAGUGGUUAGAGUGUAGAGGAGGCAGGUAGCCUAGUGGUUAGAGUGUAGAGGCGGCAGGUAGCCUAGUGGUUAGAGUGUAGAGGCGGCAGAGUAGCCUAGUGGUUAGAGUGUAGAGGUGGCAGGGUAGCCUAGUGGUUAGAGUGUAGAGGUGGCAGGUAGCCUGGUGGUUAGAGUGUAGAGGUGGCAGGUACCUAGUGGUUAGAGUGUUGAGGAGGCAGGUAGCCUAGUGGUUAGAGUGUAGAGGCGGCAGGGUAGCCUAGUGGUUAGAGUGUAGAGGCGGCAGGGUAGCCUAGUGGUUAGAGUGUAGAGGCGGCAGGGUAGCCUAGUGGUUAGAGUGUUGGGGCGGCAGGGUAGCCUAGUGGUUGGAGUGUAGAGGCGGC
ensembl:lncRNA